GUCAGUGUAGCAUAGUGGUUUGAGUGUUGAACUACAACUGAGAAGACCAGGGUUUGAUUCCCAGCUUGGCCA